GUGCUCGCUUCGGCAGCACAAACACCAAAACUGGAACGAUACAGAGGAGAUUGGCGUGGCCCCGAGCAAGGAUGACAUGCGAACUUGUGAAGCGUUCGUAUUUUUA